rnacentral:lncRNA from 1 species
AGCGUUUUGUGAGUUUAUACAUAUCAAUGUAGUGAGUAAUUUUGCAUGUGAUUAAAACACUUUACCAAGAUAAACAACUAGUGUAUGUAUAUUUUUUAUGCUCCAUUUAUGAGCAGUGGUUUUCCCGUUUGAAUGGUUUUACACUUGUAAUUUUUGGGGACCUUUAAAGCUUGCUGUUCGGUGUGAGCCAAGGUUCUGUGUUGAAGACCGUACAUUGACCCAUAAUGGUUUACUUUUAUAAAUUUUAACUUGGAUAGAGAGUUGUCUCAUUGGCACUUAUACCACAUCUUCCUAUAUCGAUCAAAUCAGGUUUUAUUGUGACAUUUUGGUAGAAACCCAUUCAAAGCAUCCGAUUCGAUAUCCGAUACUAAUCGAUAAAAAUAUAAUUUAAAGCAUAGAACAUUUUCUUUUUUAUUUAGAAUUUAUCAUACUGGCUUCAUUUUUCCGUUCUGAAAAUCAUAUCACAUUAUUUUUCGUUGUUUUCUAUAACGAACACCGACAUUAAUAACGUUAAACGUUGGUUAAAAGUUUUGCGACAGGAGACCUUUGGGAAUUCAUAAACUUAGUAUUUUUUUGUGUAAUGAUAUAAUCAAGAUUGUUGCCUGAAUGCCGUUCAAAUAUUAUAAAUUAGGAGACACCUUUGAUUUGUACAUUAAUUAUGUCAAAAAGUGAUUAUAUGCAAAGAAUAAGAGAAAAAA